rnacentral:rRNA from 1 species
CCUACGGGGGGCUGCAGUGGGGGAUAUUGCACAAUGGGGGAAACCCUGAUGCAGCGACGCCGCGUGUGGGAAGACGGUCCUCUGGAUUGUAAACCACUGUCCCCAGGGACGAAGAUGACGGUACCUGCGGAGGAAGCUCAGGCAAACUACGUGCCAGCAGCCGCGGUAAUACGUAGGGAGCAAGCGUUGUCCGGAAUUACUGGGUGUAAAGGGAGCGGAGGCGGGAGGGCAAGUUGGGGGUUAAAUCUACCGGCUAAACUGGUAGUCGCACUUAAAACUGCUAUUCUUGAGUGCAGUAGAGGCCGGCGGAAUUCCUAGUGUAGCGGUGAAAUGCGUAGAUAUUAGGAAGAACACCAGUGGCGAAGGCGGCCUGCUGGGCUUUUACUGACGCUGAGGCUCGAAAGUGUGGGGAGCAAACAGGAUUAGAUACCCCGGUAGUC